rnacentral:rRNA from 1 species
UACGUAGGGUGCAAGCGUUGUCCGGAAUUAUUGGGCGUAAAGAGCUCGUGGGCGGUUUGUCGCGUCUGCUGUGGAAACCCGAGGCUCAACCUCGGGCCUGCAGUGGGUACGGGCAGACUAGAGUGCGGUAGGGGAGAUUGGAAUUCCUGGUGUAGCGGUGGAAUGCGCAGAUAUCAGGAGGAACACCAAUGGCGAAGGCAGAUCUCUGGGCCGUAACUGACGCUGAGGAGCGAAAGCAUGGGGAGCGAACAGG